AUUGAACGCUGGCGGCAUGCCUUACACAUGCAAGUCGAACGGCAGCACGGGGCAACCUGGUGGCGAGUGGCGAACGGGUGAGUAAUGCAUCGGAACGUACCUUUCAGUGGGGGAUAACGUAGCGAAAGUUGCGCUAAUACCGCAUAUUCUGUGAGCAGGAAAGCAGGGGAUCGCAAGACCUUGCGCUGAUUGAGCGGCCGAUGUCAGAUAAGCUAGUUGGUGAGGUAAAGGCGCACCAAGCCGACGAGAUGUAGAGUGUCUGAGAGGAUGAUCCGCCACACUGGAACUGAGACACGUUCCAGACUCCUACGGGAGGCAGCAGUGGGGAAUUUUGGACAAGGGGGGCAACCCUGAUCCAGCCAUGCCGCGUGAGUGAAGAAGGCCUUCGGGUUGUAAAGCUCUUUCGGCCGGGAAGAAAUCGCACGGGCUAAUACCCUGUGUGGAUGACGGUACCGGAAUAAGAAGCACCGGCUAACUACGUGCCAGCAGCCGCCGUAAAAC
rnacentral:rRNA from 1 species